AAUACAUUGUCAUAUAAAGUGUAGGACUAAUGUGUAGAUACCCAAAAGAGUAACCUUAGUUAAUGAUGGGCUAACUAAGGUUACAUACAUGUAACCAAGAUUACAUUCUUGUGACCUUUGAGUUUCAUAACUCACAUGUUAUAAUAAGGGGGGUUAUGGUUCCCACAAGAAUGCAAGACAUUCUCUUCUUCUUCGUCCCAUUGAGAGAGAGAGCACAAACUUGUUCAAGAAGGAUUAAGGAGCUUCCACUUAUGGAUUCAGGUACGCUUCCGCUUAUAUUGUUGUUCCAAGUAAUUCGAUAUGAAGGCUAAAGUGUUUUAUUUGGAUUCAUUCCAAC
rnacentral:lncRNA from 1 species